ensembl:lncRNA
UGCCCUGAACAGGCAGUUAACCUGUUCUUAACUGAUUUGCCUAGUUAAAUAAGGUAAAAUAAAUAAAAAACACAUUAUUGAAAUGCACAUAACAAUUUAGAUCAGCUGAAUCAUACUGAUGGUGGCUUUUAUUGAUAACAUAUCAUCUUUCUGUUCAUAUUAAUGGUUUUCAUUACAAUAAACUAACCAUAAUGAUUGAGAUGACUGAAAACAGUCUCUAAUGUUAGUCCCCUCCUCUGCCCCUCCAGUGGUUCGCGCUCCACAGGAACGUAUCCCACAAUGCUGAGCGGCAGACAUCGUUGGUGAGGUCUCAGAGGGGGGGUGUACCGGCAGCGUAGCGGGGUGUUCGAGCGCCACACUGGCACCAUAGGGGUUCCCGGUUCCAGUUCCUCAUGGCACGGUCACACCACACACUGUUAGUGUCACGUAAAGCCUGGGGGCGGAGAGUUCCUAUCACAGGGACAGAACACUUUGGGAGGCCUGGCUGGGUUGUGCCCCCCGCUAUAAAGACUUCAGUCCCUCUACCAAUCAGCUGGGCGGCUCGUCAGAACCCCUGGGAGUUCCCUCUGGACUGAGGGUGUGUCCCAGUUCCUAGUGGCGACCAUGAGCCCUGUGACCUAUAUGUAGGGUUUUUUUUCUUAAAUGGAACACAUUGAUCCUUCUUUUCUACCCCGUUGGCAUGGUAGAGAUUAGUCGCCGUGGCAGCAAGCGAGCGAGAUGAGUUCCUCACGACCACAGCGGUUUGAGAGAUGUUGUCCCUUCUACUCCUCAUGAAUCUACCCGCUCACAACACCAGCAGGGACAAAUCUGUUGGAGCACUUGUAGAGCACAAGGAGUAACAGGCCCGGGCAGGGCCCACAGGGGACCCACCAGCCAGCACUAGAGGGGCCACCCCAGCCCCUGCCGGCCCCAGCGGGGAAAGGCUUAGAGAGCCUGGCCCUUUGUCUGUCUCUCUUCUCAACGCCCACAGCUCCCAGAGACUAAAAACGGUUUGACUGCUGCUUCACUCUUUGUCUCUCCCCCCAACUGCUCUCACACUCCCCCACACCAACUGCUGCUUCACUCUUUGUCUCUCCCCACACCAACUGCUGCUUCACUCUUUGUCUCUCCCCACACCAACUGCUGCUUCACUCUUUGUCUCUCCUCCCCACACCAACUGCUGCUUCACUCUUUGUCCUCCCACACCAACUGCUGCUUCACCUUUUGUCCUCCCCACACAAACUCGCUGCUCUCACCUUGUCUCCCCCACACCAACUGCUGCUCACGCUUUGUCUCUCCCCACACCAACUGCUGCUUCACUCUUUGUCUCUCCCCACACCAACUGCUGCUUCAUGCUUUGUCUCCCCACACCAACUGCGGCUUCACUCUUUGUCUCUCCCCACACCAAACUGCUGCUUCACCUCUUGUCUCUCCCACAACCAACUGCUGCUUCACUCUUGUCUCUCCCCACACCAACUGCUGCUUCACUCUUUGUCUCUCCCCACACCAACGCUGCUUCACUCUUUGUCUCUCCCCACACCAACUGCUGCUUCACUCUUGUCUCUCCCUCCA